GCCAGGCGUGGUGGUGUGUGCCUGUAAUCCCAGCUACUUGGGAGGCUGAAACAGGAGAAUUGCUUGAACCCAGGAGGCGUAGGCUGCAGUGAGCCGAGAUUGCGCCACUGCACUCCAGCCUGGGUGACAGAGCGAGACUCAGUCUCAG
ensembl:misc_RNA Metazoa_SRP Metazoan signal recognition particle RNA